AUUUAAACGCAGUUCGGCGCUGCUUUUAACGGAAGAAAACAAAUAUGUUUUUGCGCUAGGAUGAUUUCCCUUAUAAGUUCUGCGAUGGAGUUCACAGACGAGGAGAAAGUAUGGCUGCAAAGAGUGUCUGCUGAAAUACCUGAAGGAAAUGAACUCACUCCAAAUGAGAAGCAAUUACAGGAGAAAGCAAAGCCAGAGACUGAAUUUCAGGCCCAGCUCUUCCAAGCUAUGGCCUCCAUACGAUUUGGACAGAAUGAUCCAAUAACCUCAACAAUAGAGGUGAAAAUCUUUGUCCAUCAGAGAAGUAGCGUCUCAUCACAAUGUGGAUAAUCACCAAAUGCCAAGAUGAUGACACGUUUACCUUUUCUUUUUGGUAAUAUACCUGUAUAUUAAUAAUAAACUAACCUAAAACAAAAUCAGCUGUACAUAACUGUGAUGUCAAGUUACUUUGGCACUUUUUAAUUAGUCACAAGAAUACAAUUUCAUAUUUUUCUUGAUCUCACCUAGGUAUUCUUACCUUAUUAAUGAUUUAUUGGUAGAUGCAGGUUUAGAUCAUAGCUACACCAGGGAAUGUGACAGCAUAAAGUUUUAUUGACCUCAGCUCAUCAUGACAUGUUUCCUCAGUUAAGCACAAAUGGAUGCGUCAUUAUGCUAUGCAAAGUUGAGAAAUUUUGAGAAAAUAAUGCUAUUGCUGUUUGCAUGCGCUUUUAUUGUUGUAUGAUCUAUGAAAUCACAAGAAAACAAGAAAAAAAAAUAGUUUUUGUUUUUUAAAUGUCAUUGGUGCUUUUUUUCCCAAAAACAUGCCAAUGCUUUUGAAAUGUUGAUAAGUGAAGGUCCUUCAGAAACUCAGUAUGCAUUACUUUUAUCAUGCUCGCAGGGAUGAUAACAUCUCUACCUCAUUCAAAAUGCAAUAACAAACAGCACAGUGCAAGUUUUCUUUUGCACACAUGUAUAAUAAAUUGGACCAUGAUAUUUGGACAACAGCAGCGUUCUAAUUUUCAGAUGUUUGUUUCAAUACUGUUUCCUUAUAUGAUUUCUAUCCAUGGUCCAACACAAAUGUUAUUUCCAAAAAUGUAUGUGCAUUCCACUCUGUUUUCACAUUUAGCCUAACGUUUUAAAAAGAUUUGACUGUACUUUAAAAUGAAUAAAAAUUUAA
rnacentral:lncRNA from 1 species